rnacentral:lncRNA from 1 species
GUAGAGGUCCACCAUAACUCUAGCGUGCCAUGAUAGUCGUCUUUUUUUCCAUCCCCCUCCUAUUGUGACGAGCUCUGACUAUAUAGCUCCACCGACCCAAUCAGGUUUGACUGUCGCAACAGCCGCAAGGACCUCUAAGCCGCUCUGCUGCCGUUCUCACUGUCUGGUUGAGUUUCCUCCCUCAAAGCUCCUCUUCUAAGCCGCUUUGCCGUCAUCCUCACUGUUUGGUCGACUUUCCUCCCUCAAAGCUCUUCUCUUCUAAGCCCGCCAGAGUUAGAGAAGAAAGAGGCGGCGUCCGCGCCAUCAUGGGGAAGACUAACAUUGUGUUGGGUGUGGGCACAAGCACGAGUGACUAAUCGUUAUGCAAGUUAACAAUCGCCUGCAAAGGAGUAAAAUUAUUUCUAGAUAUAUGGCUUUUGCUGACAUGGAAGAGAAGAAUAUAGGAGAUAGAGGAGAGUUUGACUUUAUAUAAGCAACAAAAGUAUGGCGACAUGAGAACCUAUGUAGUGGUGGAUACAUAUAAGAAGUCUAUGCAAGUCUCUAUUGGCCUAAUGGUUGUUUAGCAUGUUUUGCACACUGUUUAAGGUAUACUAUUUCUGUUUAAUUAGUUAUUUUAAUUGUUUAAAGGACUAUUUCUCGUUUAAACACCCGUUUUGUCCCAAAUAUGGGUUAAACGGCGGUUAGGAUAAUACUAUUGUGAGAAAAAAUAAGAAAGAAAAAUGCAGGUUAUUUUAUCGUAUAGGAAUAAAAGGAAAGUACAAAACAAUUUGUAUAGCUCAGUUCAACGUGCUCUCAUGUGAGCUUAAAGAUAGCAGCAAUAACUACAACGAUGACCGUAGCACAAGCAAAGUGUUCCAGUCCAUACUUUUUUUUCACGGGUCUUCUGCAAGUGGGCGCUAGGUACCGAUGAUGUAUAGCUACGAGUAGUACCGAACCUUGGAACACAGUAGCUACUAGCUACGAGUCACUGUUUCGCCUCUGAUUUCCAGCCGUACCGUGACCGUAAAAGCCAAGCGGACUUCCUCCCCCAUGCGUUCGAUUCCGCCGUGGCAAUCCUGACUCCACAACUGCACAACAACGAAGGUAACCAUGGUCCAUGGAAGCCAUAUAUACGUACGUGUGAAUCUCUGAUGUAGCAAUAUGUCAACGUAUCCCAGUACGAUCCAUGUCGACGAUCCAUCCAGGUUACUACUAAUAAGGCUUUGUUUAGAUGCGAAAAGAUUUUGGAUUUCACUACUGUAGCACUUUCGUUUGUUUGUGUCAAAUAUUGUCCAAUUAUGAACUAACUAUGAUCAGAAAAUUCGUCUCGUGAUUUACAAGUAAACUGUGUAAUUAGUUUUUAUUUUUAUAUAUAUUUAAUGUUUAAUGCAUGUGCCGAAAGAUUCGAUGUGACAAAAAAUCUUAA